rnacentral:rRNA from 1 species
UGGGGAAUCUUGGACAAUGGGCGCAAGCCUGAUCCAGCCAUGCCGCGUGAGUGAAGAAGGCCUUAGGGUUGUAAAACUCUUUCGCCGGAGAAGAUAAUGACGGUAUCCGGAGAAGAAGCCCCGGCUAACUUCGUGCCAGCAGCCGCGGUAAUACGAAGGGGGCUAGCGUUGUUCGGAAUUACUGGGCGUAAAGCGCACGUAGGCGGGUUUGUAAGUAGGGGGUGAAAUCCCAGGGCUCAACCCUGGAACUGCCUUCUAAACUGCAAGCCUGGAGGUCAGGAGAGGCGAGUGGAAUACCGAGUGUAGAGGUGAAAUUCGUAGAUAUUCGGUGGAACACCAGUGGCGAAGGCGACUCGCUGGACUGAUACUGACGCUGAGGUGCGAAAGCGUGGGGAGCAAACAGGAUUAGAUACCCCUGUAGUCCCUGAGCGGGCUGGCAAGGCGCAU